AGUGAACGCUGGCGGUAGGCCUAACACAUGCAAGUCGAACGGCAGCACAGUAAGAGCUUGCUCUUACGGGUGGCGAGUGGCGGACGGGUGAGGAAUACAUCGGAAUCUACUUUUUCGUGGGGGAUAACGUAGGGAAACUUACGCUAAUACCGCAUACGACCUACGGGUGAAAGCAGGGGAUCUUCGGACCUUGCGCGAUUCAAUGAGCCGAUUUCGGAUUAGCUAGUUGGCGGGGUAAAGGCCCACCAAGGCGACGAUCCGUAGCUGGUCUGAGAGGAUGAUCAGCCACACUGGAACUGAGACACGGUCCAGACUCCUACGGGAGGCAGCAGUGGGGAAUAUUGGACAAUGGGCGCAAGCCUGAUCCAGCCAUACCGCGUGGGUGAAGAAGGCCUUCGGGUUGUAAAGCCCUUUUGUUGGGAAAGAAAAGCAGCAGGUUAAUACCCCGCUGUUCUGACGGUACCCAAAGAAUAAGCACCGGCUAACUUCGUG
rnacentral:rRNA from 1 species